GACCGCAUAGUUCAGUGGAUAGAGCAGCUGCCUUCUAAGCAGUGGGUCGAGAGUUCGAAUCUCUCUGCGGUCG
rfam:Mannheimia haemolytica M42548, complete genome.